rnacentral:rRNA from 1 species
UACUGCAAAACUAGCCUGAUCACCAACUAAAUUCAACUUUAUAAAUCACAUAUAUACAUUGUAUACAUUGUUAAAACAUUUUAAUCCUUUUAGUACGGGCGACAGAAAAAAGACAAUCAGCGCAAUAGCACUAGUACCGCAAGGGAAAGCUGAAAAAGAAAUGAAACAAAUUAUUAAAGUACAAAAAAGCAGAGAUUUAAACUCGUACCUUUUGCAUCAUGAUUUAGCUAGACAAACUAGGCAAAAAGACCCUUAAGCCUAUCUUCCCGAAACUAAACGAGCUACUCCGAAGCAGUACAACCAAGAACCAACCCGUUUCUGUGGCAAAAGAAUGGGAAGACUUCCGAGUAGAGGUGACAAACCUAUCGAGCUUAGUGAUAGCUGGUUAUCUGAAAAAAGAAUCUUAGUUCUGCAUUAAUCCUUACAACACUAAAAAUGAACUAUCCCAUUAAAGUGUUACAUAAAAAUUAAAAGUUAUUUAAAAGAGGUACAGCCCCUUUAAACCAAGACACAACUUUCAAAGGAGGGUAUUGAUCAUAUUCAAAAAGACCUAUCCAUUCCCCAGUAGGCCUAGAAGCAGCCACCUGAAAAGCCAGCGUCACAGCUCCAGUUUCAAAAAAAAAUCUAUAAUACCGAUAACUCAUCAUAACCCCCAAACUCUAUAUCAGAUUAUUUUAUUAACCUAUAAAAGAACUUAUGCUAAAAUGAGUAAUAAGAGGCCAAACCUCUCCUGACAUAAGUGUAAAUCAGAAAGAAUUAAAUCACUGACAAUUAAACGAACCCAUUGAGGCUAUCAUAUCAACAAAUAAUAAACUAGAUAAACCCAUCCAAUAAUCCGUUAACCCCACACAGGAAUGUCACAAGGAAAGAUUAAAAGGAAGUAAAGGAACUCGGCAAACAUAAACUCCGCCUGUUUACCAAAAACAUCGCCUCUUGCUUAAACUAUAAGAGGUCCAGCCUGCCCUGUGAUAAUUUUUUUAACGGCCGCGGUAUCUUGACCGUGCGAAGGUAGCGUAAUCACCUGUCUUUUAAAUGAAGACCUGUAUGAAAGGCAUCACGAGAGUUUAACUGUCUCUACUUCCCAAUCAAUGAAAUUGAUCUUCCCGUGCAAAAGCGGGAAUAAUUACAUUAGACGAGAAGACCCUAUGGAGCUUAAAACACUUAAAUUAAUUAUGUAAUUGCAUUAUAUUCCAAGGACAUAAACAAAUAAUACAAUAUUCUUAAUUUAACAUGUUUUUGGUUGGGGCGACCAAGGAGAAAAACAAAUCCUCCUUAUCGACUAAGUAUUACUGUACUUAAAAACUAGAACCACAGUUCUAAAUGAUAAAACAUUUAUCGAAAAAUGACCCAGGAUAUCCUUAAACCUGAAUAAUGAACCAAGUUACCCUAGGGAUAACAGCGCAAUCCUUUCCCAGAGUUCCUAUCGACGAAAGGGCUUACGACCUCGAUGUUGGAUCAGGACAUCCUAAUGGUGUAACCGCUAUUAAGGGUUCGUUUGUUCAACGAUUAAUAGUCCUACGUGAUCUGAGUUCAGACCGGAGAAAUCCAGGUCAGUUUCUAUCUAUGAAAAAUUUUUCCUAGUACGAAAGGACCGGAAAAAUAGAGCCAAUGCCCAUAAGCACGCUCUACCUUCAUCUAUUGAAAUAAACUCAAAUAGAUAAGAAGAAACACCCAUCCUCACCCAAAAAAAGGGUAGUU